UCAAUCCCCAUACCCCACAUUUACACAAUCCCCUUUAAAAAUGACAAUUGUACCUUUAAAUAAUUUAAAGUGUGUAAUUAAUUAUUCUUUAAACCUCGUUUAGAUUCUGUGAACGUGCUAACAUGUAUCAAAAGCCUGGAUCAAAUCAACAACCAACUAUGAGAGGUCCCAUGCAUGUUCUUGUGGUCAUCGCAUAACCCUGUCGUUUCCUUGACUCGACAACUCCAGCUAGAUUUUCAUAAGAUGACUGGCCACCACAACUCAGUGUCUCUCUAGCACUUGCCUCCAGUUCUUUAUCCCUUCUCCUCAUCUUCCCAGCACCACCGUCUCUCUUCCUUGAGUCCUUCCUCCACCACCGGUAUUUUCACUGCCACCCCUAUCUCAUUGCUUAACAUCAUCGCAUUCAUCAAAGCACAGGUUAGAUGAACACAGAUUCUCAAUUUCUAUAUCAUGAUCACCGCGGUAGAUCUUGCUGUUUGACCUCCAUUAUCGAAUACAACAACCUUGUCAUAUCAAACUGACUACUGUGCUACCCCCCUCACCUCCGACGUCCGACCACAGUCCCUCAAGACAAGAAAAAAGCUCAUAAUCAAAUUACUCAUCGGCAUCUUUAUCAAGCAGUCGGAUUGAUUAACAAUGUGCUUCAUUUGCUUAUUCAUUACGAAUUACUGAAUCUUUAUGGAUAAUAGGUGGGUAUGUCCGUUGUAUCCAUGGUGCUCUAAGAGUUCAAGGUCACUAUAGCGCUUUCAGUAGGGAUUGCAGAUCAAAGCCUGAAGCAAUGGAUAACUGUUGAACCGGAAUAAAAAAAUCUUGGAAUUUGUGCCUGAACUUGAGUUCUUGCUCAUGGAUUCUGAUGAGCCUUUUUGUAUGGACAAACUAACACAACCUAUGAUAAUUUAUGAAACUCCCGGUUAGCUUUGCUUAUGAACAAACAAUUUGCCAUAAAAAAAUCUAAGAAAAUACAUGAGAAUUCCAACAAAUCGAUUUAAAUUUUGCGGAUUCAACGAUAUAGGAAAGCAUUGAAAGCUCUGAAACCGCUAGUGAAGCUCUGAGCAGUUGUGAGAGGUUAGCUAGUGAGGAAAUUAAGAAGCAACUGAGACUUGCACGACAUGGAGGCGUUGUUCAGAGCGUCUAACGGAUAUAACGACCCAAGGACCACUGGUGGUAGAAGAUCGAACCUAAAGGACGAUUUAUGCAAAGAAAAAAACUUGUACUUAUUUUUCUACGAACCAUAGGGACCAUAUAUAUAAUUUAGUCUUGAAGAUAUUUAAGGUUUUCUUGACAGCACCAUAGAAUCAAAUACUUGAGAUUUGAUAACAGACAAUAUCACUGUACACACGCUAUGCACAAGCUGUUUCCUUUUUAGAUGAUAAUCACUAUCGAUACAAAAACAAGAUAUUUAUUUAUAUUCUUUUAGCAUAUGAGUAUAUAUAUUUUACUAAAUCACCUCAUACUUUAAGAAAUAGUGCUUUAUGUAAUAAGAAAAUAACGAUAUGAUCCUAAAUGAAGAUGAUGAUAUACUAGAUGGGGCUUUGGCAAAAAGAAGAAAAACACAUUCUUUGUAUUAUUUUUGACGAUGAGUGAUAACCGUUAAUUUCAGCCUUUCAAACUCCCCAAACUUUCGAUCUCAACCGUCAUAACUCGCUAGUUACAGUUUUUGACGUUUCUCUUCCUCAAUUCAAAGCUCCACAUUCUUCUCCAUGUGUCUUCUGCACGAUCGAUUCUUUGCUAUAGUUAAUCGGAAGUUACUUCCUCAGUCAUUCACUUCUCAACCGUAAGCUCUAAUCCUUCAACUUCCCUCCUACAAUCAAUCGUUUGUCUCAGAAAGCGUUGAUCCCCAUCACGAUCUCCUCCUUCCCCUCUUCUAUAUGUACCAAGGGAAACCGAUGAUCAACUGAAAAAGAGAGAAUGGUUGCUUCUAUUACUACGACAAUUUGAGAAAGAUGGAGCCCUCUUCCCACAAUUUCAGUGAGUUUUUUGUACGUCGUUCUAAUUUUAAUUUUGUUUCAUUGAAUUUCGGCUUGUAUGCUGUGGAUUAUUGAAUAUUUAUGGAAACUUUGAUUAUGAUUUCGUGAUUUCAUAAGAUUAAAUGUUUUAGAUGACUAAAAAGUGUGCGAUUGUAGAGUGAGAGUGAGAUAGAAUCAACAUUACAUCGUCGUUGUAUCGAUUUAGGAACCAAGAAGCAGUAAAAUCAGAUAAUUAAUACAUAGUGGAGGAAAAAUACGAGACAACGGCUUUGGAUAUUGGAGAAGAUGAUGAGAUAUUGACGAUUGUGGAUUUGAUUUUUCACAUGGUAUCUCUCUGAACUUCUGUCACAUUAUCUUUGAGCAUUGGAGAAGACAAUGUCUCUAGAUUUUGGAGAAGACGACAACUCAUGCUUUCUUUGAUUUAGCAAAGCCCUAGGCUCAUGUAUGGUCGAUAAUGGUCAGAUAGACUUACGAGAUAUUCUUCAAAGUUUCAGUUUAACUUUAACUGUGUCCCAUUUCCGAAAGGUAUCGUUAUCCAAUUGAUAUUUUUGUAGUUUAUCCACAUAGACAUGAAUGUGUUUUUUUCAUGAAGGAUAAGUAAUGAUUCCCUUUGCACUAAAACAUGGUACCUGGACUAGAUUUACAGUAGUGUAAUUGAUAAGCUCAUGUUUUCUUGAUUUUCACAUAUAUUAAUUUCUUGCCAUUAGAGGGAGUUAUCUACAUCUCUUCAUUUGAUGUUAUAAGUGAUGACCUUAGAGAUAUCCCAUAUGAUGAGAUUAUAUUCUUAGUAAAAGACAUGGUAGAUUAUAACUUAUCUGCUUAAAAGUUACUACCAUAAGGAUCAUAAUCAAUAAUAUCUUUUAUAAGAUCUCUGGUUAAAUAAAUUUGGAUUAUGCAACAACUUGCUAAGACAUUGGCUUAAUGUUUGUCCAUAGUUUCUUUUAAUAUGAUUUUCUUGGUUCUUAAUGUGUUUUGUUAGAAUUUAUAGGUCCUUGAUAUAGUAUUGAAGAAGGUUGUUAAAGAUCUUUCUUCACUGCUUAUUUCUUAAGAAAAUCAGGUAAAUUCUUUGAACCGAGUUGUGUCUCAGAGGGCCAUUUAUUUUACCUAGCUUUAUUUACAAUUGAUAGUAGGACUACUAUAAAUUUUACCAUGUACACUACUUACCAGGUUAUGAUUGCAACUGUUAAUAUUUGUUAAUAUGUUAUGUAGUUUUGUGUUUCUUUCUCCUA